rnacentral:rRNA from 1 species
UACGAGGGGGGCGAGCGUUGUUCGGAAUUAUUGGGCGUAAAGGGUGCGUAGGCGGUUCGGUAAGUUUCGUGUGAAAUCUUCGGGCUCAACUCGAAGUCUGCACGAAAUACUGCCGGGCUUGAGUGUGGGAGAGGUGAGUGGAAUUUCCGGUGUAGCGGUGAAAUGCGCAGAUAUCAGGAGGAACACCGGUGGCGAAGGCGGGUCUCUGGGCCGAUACUGACGCUGAGGAGCGAAAGCGUGGGGAGCGAACAGG